ACUACGUGGGGCAGCAGUGAGGAAUAUUGGUCAAUGGACGAGAGUCUGAACCAGCCAAGUAGCGUGAAGGAUGACUGCCCUAUGGGUUGUAAACUUCUUUUAUAAAGGAAUAAAACGCGGCACGUGUGCCUUUUUCCAUGUACUUUAUGAAUAAGGCUCGGCUAACUCCGUGCCAGCAGCCGCGGUAAUACGGAGGAUCCGAGCGUUAUCCGGAUUUAUUUGGUUUAAAGGGAGCGUAGCCGGGUUGUUAAGUCAGUUGUGAAAGUUUGCGGCUCAACCGUAAAAUUGCAAUUGAUACUGGCAGCCUGGAGUACAGUAGAGGUAGGCGGAAUUCGUGGUGUAGCGGUGAAAUGCUUAGAUAUCACGAAGAACCCCGAUUGCGAAGGCAGCCUACUAAACUGUGACUGACGUUGAUGCUCGAAAGUGUGGGUAUCAAACAGGAUUAGAUACCCUUGUAGUC
rnacentral:rRNA from 1 species